AAUUUGCGUUAGGGAUUAUAGCAGAUAGCCUUUUGUGGCUUAAAUGCCACAAAAGCUAUGAGCGAAAAGCCCGACCCGCC
rnacentral:sRNA from 1 species